rnacentral:tRNA from 1 species
GCCGGCGUAGCCCAAUCGGCAGAGGCCCGGGCCUUAAAACCCCGACCAGUGCGGGUUCGAGUCCCGCCGCCGGCA